UACCAGCACCCCGAGUGGUCGGGACGUUUUAUUGGGCCUAAAGCAUCCGUAGCCGGUUCUACAAGUCUUCCGUUAAAUCCACCUGCUUAACAGAUGGGCUGCGGAAGAUACUAUAGAGCUAGGAGGCGGGGAGAGGCAAGCGGUACUCGAUGGGUAGGGGUAAAAAUCCGUUGAUCCAUUGAAGACCACCAGUGGCGAAGGCGGCUUGCCAGAACGCGCUCGACGGUGAGGGAUGAAAAGCUGGGGGGAGCAAACCGGG
rnacentral:rRNA from 1 species